CGGGUGGAGUAAUGUCUGGGAAACUGCCUGAUGGAGGGGGAUAACUACUGGAAACGGUAGCUAAUACCGCAUAACGUCGCAAGACCAAAGAGGGGGACCUUAGGGCCUCUUGCCAUCGGAUGUGCCCAGAUGGGAUUAGCUAGUAGGUGGGGUAAUGGCUCACCUAGGCGACGAUCCCUAGCUGGUCUGAGAGGAUGACCAGCCACACUGGAACUGAGACACGGUCCAG
rnacentral:rRNA from 1 species